rnacentral:rRNA from 1 species
AACGAACGCUGGCGGCAUGCCUAACACAUGCAAGUCGAACGAGACCUUCGGGUCUAGUGGCGCACGGGUGCGUAACGCGUGGGAACCUUCCCUUAGGUUCGGCAUAACUCCCCGACAGGGGUGCUAAUACCGGAUAAUGUCUUCGGACCAAAGAUUUAUCGCAUUUGGAUGGGCCCGCGUUGGAUUAGCUAGUUGGUAGGGUAAAAGCAUAACAAGGCGACGAUCCAUAGCUGGGCUGAGAGGAUGAUCAGCCACACUGGGACUGAGACACGGCCCAGACUCCUACGGGAGGCAGCAGUGGGGAAUAUUGGACAAUGGGCGAAAGCCUGAUCCAGCAAUGCCGCGUGAGUGAUGAAGGCCUUAGGGUUGUAAAGCUCUUUUACCCGGGAUGAUAAUGACAGUACCGGGAGAAUAAGCUCCGGCUAACUCCGUG